UACGUAGGGUGCGAGCGUUGUCCGGAAUUAUUGGGCGUAAAGAGCUCGUAGGCGGUGUGUCGCGUCGGCCGUGAAAACCUGCAGCUUAACUGUGGGCUUGCGGUCGAUACGGGCAUCACUGGAGUUCGGCAGGGGAGACUGGAAUUCCUGGUGUAGCGGUGAAAUGCGCAGAUAUCAGGAAGAACACCAACGGCGAAGGCAGCUCGCUGGGACGGAACUGACGCUAAGGCGCGAAAGCGUGGGGAGCGAACAGG
rnacentral:rRNA from 1 species